AGCCCAGCCCUGGAUUCCCAGGUCCUCCCAUUCAGUAAUUACCAUUGACCACAGACCAUUCGCCAUGGACUUGGGGAUCAGCUGGAUUUUCCUUGUCUUUAUUUUUAAAGGUGUCCAGAGUGACGUGCAGCUGGUGGAGUCUGGAGGAGGCUUGGUGCAGCCUGGAAAGUCCUUGAAACUCUCUUGUGUAGCUUCUGGAAUCACCUUAAGUAAUAACUACAUGAGCUGGGUCCGCCAGGCUCCAGGGAAGGGGCUGGAGUGGGUCGCGUACAUUAAUACUGGUGGGGGCACCUAUUACGCCGACGCCGUGAAGGGCCGAUUCACCAUCUCCAGAGACAACGCCAAGAACACCCUGUACCUACAAAUGAACAGUCUGAGGUCUGAGGACACGGCCACAUAUUACUGUGCAAGAGACACAGUGACUGAAUGUUGCUGA